AACGAACGCUGGCGGCAUGCCUAACACAUGCAAGUCGAACGAGACCUUCGGGUCUAGUGGCGCACGGGUGCGUAACGCGUGGGAACCUGCCCUUAGGUUCGGAAUAACUCCCCGAAAGGGGUGCUAAUACCGGAUAAUGUCUUCGGACCAAAGAUUUAUCGCCUUUGGAUGGGCCCGCGUUGGAUUAUCUAGUUGGUAGGGUAAAGGCCUACCAAGGCGACGAUCCAUAGCUGGUCUGAGAGGAUGAUCAGCCACACUGGGACUGAGACACGGCCCAGACUCCUACGGGAGGCAGCAGUGGGGAAUAUUGGACAAUGGGCGAAAGCCUGAUCCAGCAAUGCCGCGUGAGUGAUGAAGGCCUUAGGGUUGUAAAGCUCUUUUACCCGGGAUGAUAAUGACAGUACCGGGAGAAUAAGCUCCGGCUAACUCCGUG
rnacentral:rRNA from 1 species